UGCAUGGUGUUGUAAGCAGACCGCGGGC
rnacentral:piRNA from 1 species